UACGAGUGCCCCAAGCGUUAUCCGGAAUUACUGGGCGUAAAGCGUGCGCAGGCGGGGAUGUAAGACAGAUGUGAAAUCCCCGGGCUCAACCUGGGAACUGCAUUUGUGACUGCAUCGCUGGAGUGCGGCAGAGGGGGAUGGAAUUCCGCGUGUAGCAGUGAAAUGCGUAGAUAUGCGGAGGAACACCGAUGGCGAAGGCAAUCCCCUGGGCCUGCACUGACGCUCAUGCACGAAAGCGUGGGGAGCAAACAGG
rnacentral:rRNA from 1 species